ACAACAACAACAACAACAACAAACCCAGUGUAUUCCCACUUAGUGGGGUCUGGGGGGGGUAAGAUGUACGCAGUCCAUACCUCUACCUCUGAUGAAGUAGAAAGGCUGUUUCCGAAAGACCCCCGGCUCAAGACACAAGAUAUCACACAAACACAUAGUAAAGCACAGAAGCAGAUGACAUAACAUAAAUACGGCACCCAUAAGAAAUAUAAAACAGCGGAAAGCAGAGGAAAGCACACAGAUUCGUAAUAAGCAUGGGACACUGAAUACGGAAUCAUAACGGGAAUAAAAAUAAAAAAAAACCCCACCGAGUAAUUCCCUACACUAGCGACCCAAUCUGGCCCUACUCUUCUGCCGUAAUUCGCGUCUUCCAGA
rnacentral:lncRNA from 1 species